rnacentral:rRNA from 1 species
AUGCACGAUGCUUCGUCAAGCUGGUCGGACCGCGGCAAUCGACGGAGUGUAAGCCGGAGGAGGCGACGAGAUGUUGCUACUGCCGCUGUGUCCUCGGAGGCAGCAGCUGCCCCUCGCCGACCUCACCAACCUCUGGUGUCCACCGUGAGCUCCGCGCAGGACCCCUUCUACAUCAUCCAGGAGGAGAUCCAGGGAUGGGUAAUCCCCCCAUCCCCGUCCGCCCUCCCUCCCUCCCCUGUACCCCUUUCUCUUCCUCUAGUUGUGAAUUUUGGUAUGCUGCCAUUGUUUAUUUGGCUACGCCGUGGCAUACUGUCAGCUGAAAACUGCUUCUUUAUUUUCUACUCCAGUACCGUAAGGAGUAGUAUAUAA